rnacentral:lncRNA from 1 species
UCUCUCUCCUAUGCACUACCACCGUGCUUCUUUGCCAAUACCUAAAAAUCCUUUUUCUACCCACGAUCUCUCUCUCCCCCCUCUCGUGUCUGCAAAAACUCCUUUUCUAAUCUCACCUUGCUCUUUCUCUAGCAUCAACGCCAUCUCCAAGUCUCGCCUCUCUCUUUCUCUCGCAUUGAUGCCAUCUCUAAGUCUUUGGCUUCCUCAGAUCAGCCUCCUCAUCUUGGCUGAGGACUUUCACUGUCUCUACGACCUCUGCUCUG